rnacentral:misc_RNA from 1 species
UAAUAAGUGUUUUAUGGCACUUUUUAAAUCCAUAUCCACCUUGUGUGCAAUGUCAGUCGAUCUUCUUCAUGGAGAUCGACCAAACAUCAACCUUUAUCUUUUAACUCUUUGUCUGAAAAAUAUAUGAAUAAACAAUUCAAAAUA